rnacentral:rRNA from 1 species
CUCCAAAAUAAAGAAAAGGACAAUGUUCCCUGUGGGAACAGGACAUCGUAGAGGGUCGCCAAAUCCCGGUACUUGCCAUGGAUGUACCGUGCUUUGCGAUACGUGCUCUAAGAGUCGAGUUGUUUGGGAUUGCAGCUCAAAAUGGGUGGUAGACUCCAUCUAAAGCUAAAUAUCGGGGAGAGACCGAUAGCGAACAAGUACCGUGAGGGAAAGAUGAAAAGCACUUUGGAAAGAGAGUUAAAAGUACGUGAAAUUGUCGAAAGGGAAGCGCUUGAAGUCAGCCAUGCCGCUCAGGACUCAGCCUGGCUUUUGCUUGGUGUAUUUCCUGGGUAGCAAGUCAGCAUUGUUUUGGAUCGUCAGAGAAGCAUAGUCAGAAUGUGGCGCCCUCGGGCGUGUUAUAGCCUUCUAUUGGAUACGACAAUCUAGACCAAGGAACGCAGCGCGCCUUAUGGCGGGUCUUCUGACACCUUCUCGCUUAGGAUACUGGCGUAUUAUAAAAAAGGGC